UAAUACAGAGGGUGCGAGCGUUAAUCGGAAUUACUGGGCGUAAAGCGCGCGUAGGUUGGUAGAUGUGUUGACUGUGAAAUCCCCGAGCUCAACUUGGGGCGGUCAGUCAAAACUGUCUAUCUAGAGUAUGGUAGAGGAAAGUGGAAUUUCAGGUGUAGCGGUGAAAUGCGUAGAUAUCUGAAGGAACACCAGUGGCGAAGGCGACUUUCUGGACCAAUACUGACACUGAGGCGCGAAAGCGUGGGGAGCAAACAGG
rnacentral:rRNA from 1 species